rnacentral:rRNA from 1 species
UGAGGAAUAUUGGGCAAUGCCCGCAAGGGUGACCCAGCAACGCCGCGUGGAGGAUGAAUGUCGUAAGAUUGUAAACUCCUGUUAGAGGGGAAGAAUAGUACCGGUUGGACCGGUAUAUGACUGUACCCUCAGAGAAAGCCCCGGCUAACUACGUGCCAGCAGCCGCGGUAAUACGUAGGGGGCAAGCGUUGUCCGGAUUUACUGGGUGUAAAGGGCGCGCAGGCGGGAUAAAAAGUCAGUGGUGAAAUCCUACAGCUUAACUGUAGAACUGCCUUUGAUACUUGUAUUCUUGAGUUCGGGAGAGAGAGACGGAAUUCCAGGUGUAGUGGUGAAAUACGUAGAUAUCUGGAAGAACACCAGUUGCGAAGGCGGUCUCUUGGUCCGACACUGACGCUGAGGCGCGAAAGCGUGGGGAGCAAACA